UCUUGCUGUGUUGGCUAGGGUGGUCUCAAACUCCUGUCCUCAAAUGAUCUUCCUGACUUGACCUCCCAAGGUGCUGAGACUACAAGCCUGAGCCACCCUCGGCCAAUUGUCAUUUUAAUUAACUUGAUGUUUACUUCCAUGAAAAGAUUGACAGCAAUGUGCUGUCCUCUUUGGCAUUUUGUUGAUGUUCUUAUAGUUCAAAAUUUUUAAAUAGUUUACUGUCAUAUAAUUAAUACUUUCACAUCCUUUGAUGCCUUGAUAGUGUAUGUUGGUCCAAAAGUAAUUGCGGUUUUUGUCAUUAAAAGUAAAGGCAAAAACUGCAAUUACUUUUGUACCAACCUGUAUUUUUCUCUUCUCAGAUUCUCAGUGGAAUACUGGAUCUUCUUAUGACUCCCAAACUAAGGGAGACAUGGAGAAUUUUAAUGUUUCUGAGGUUCACAUACUAACUUAGUACUUGGAGUUUAUCUUCAGGCCUCUUUUGUUGAAAAGAGAUGUCCUAAUAUAGUUAACUGUGGAAUGAGUUCCUGACAGUCCGCCAGUAAAGGGUAAAUAUAUUAUGGAACAUUACACGUUAGAAAGGAUGAAUCAACUCUGUAUUCAUUCAUUUGGGUGAGUGUUCAAGACAUAUUUUUUAAAGCAGGUUUCAAGACAAUAUUUACAAUCAAAUCCUAUUUUUAUAAAACAAAAC
rnacentral:lncRNA from 10 species